UCUGUUUUAGUAUAAUUGAUAUUAUGUUAGCUUUUCGUGCUUUAGAUGGUUGUUUUAACUGAACAGAU
rnacentral:tRNA from 1 species